UUGAAACAUUGUGAAGGAGGUUGAGCUGGCUCUUUAAGUGCAUGUGCUCACCUUCUUUCAAUCUUCAUCCACCUGUGCACAUCUUGUAGGGGGAAUUUGGAACGGUGUAAAAAGCUUAGUACAAGUUUCUUCUAUGUUUUUUACACACUCUAUUGUAUGUCUUUGAAUGUAUAUUUAUUGGGACUUAAUUGACCCUUUAAAAACUAUA
rnacentral:misc_RNA from 1 species